rnacentral:rRNA from 1 species
GAUGAACGCUGGCGGCGUGCCUAAUACAUGCAAGUCGAGCGAACAGACGAGGAGCUUGCUCCUCUGACGUUAGCGGCGGACGGGUGAGUAACACGUGGAUAACCUACCUAUAAGACUGGGAUAACUUCGGGAAACCGGAGCUAAUACCGGAUAAUAUAUUGAACCGCAUGGUUCAAUAGUGAAAGACGGUUUUGCUGUCACUUAUAGAUGGAUCCGCGCCGCAUUAGCUAGUUGGUAAGGUAACGGCUUACCAAGGCAACGAUGCGUAGCCGACCUGAGAGGGUGAUCGGCCACACUGGAAGUGAGACACGGUCCAGACGCCUACGGGAGGCAGCAGUAGGGAAUCUGCCGCAAUGGGCGAAAGCCUGACGGAGCAACGCCGCGUGAGUGAUGAAGGUCUUCGGAUCGUAAAACUCUGUUAUUAGGGAAGAACAAAUGUGUAAGUAACUAUGCACGUCUUGACGGUACCUAAUCAGAAAGCCACGGCUAACUACGUG